rnacentral:rRNA from 1 species
GACGAACGCUGGCGGCGUGCUUAACACAUGCAAGUCGAGCGAGAAACUUCGGUUUCUAGCGGCGGACGGGUGAGUAACACGUGGGCAACCUGCCUCACAAUGGGGGAUAGCCUUCCGAAAGGAAGAUUAAUACCGCAUAACACAAAGGAAACGCAUGUUUCUUUUGCCAAAGAAUUUCGUUGUGAGAUGGGCCCGCGGCGCAUUAGCUUGUUGGUGAGGUAACGGCCCACCAAGGCGACGAUGCGUAGCCGACCUGAGAGGGUGAUCGGCCACAUUGGAACUGAGACACGGUCCAGACUCCUACGGGAGGCAGCAGUGGGGAAUAUUGCACAAUGGAGGAAACUCUGAUGCAGCAACGCCGCGUGAGUGAUGAAGGUCUUCGGAUUGUAAAGCUCUGUCUUCUGGGACGAUAAUGACGGUACCAGAGGAGGAAGCCACGGCUAACUACGUGCCAGCAGCCGCGGUAACAC